AGAGUUUGAUCCUGGCUCAGGAUGAACGCUAGCGGCAGGCUUAACACAUGCAAGUCGAGGGGCAGCGGGGAGGAAGCUUGCUUUCUCCGCCGGCGACCGGCGCACGGGUGAGUAACACGUAUGCAACCUGCCCCUGUCAGGGGGACAACCCGCCGAAAGGCGGGCUAAACCCGCGUACAUGCCACCGGGGCAUCCCGGAGGCAGGAAAGGCUUCGGCCGGACAGGGAUGGGCAUGCGGCGCAUUAGGCAGUAGGCGGGGUAACGGCCCACCUAACCGACGAUGCGUAGGGGUUCUGAGAGGAAGGUCCCCCACACUGGUACUGAGACACGGACCAGACUCCUACGGGAGGCAGCAGUGAGGAAUAUUGGUCAAUGGUCGGGAGACUGAACCAGCCAAGCCGCGUGAGGGAGGAAGGUACAGAGUAUCGUAAACCUCUUUUGUCAGGGAACAAAGGCGGGGACGUGUCCCCGGAUGAGUGUACCUGAAGAAAAAGCAUCGGCUAACUCCGUGCCAGCAGCCGCGGUAAUACGGAGGAUGCGAGCGUUAUCCGGAUUUAUUGGGUUUAAAGGGUGCGCAGGCGGUCUGUUAAGUCAGCGGUCAAAGCCCGGGGCUCAACCCCGGCCCGCCGUUGAAACUGGCAGUCUCGAGUUGGAGAGAGGUAUGCGGAAUGCGCGGUGUAGCGGUGAAAUGCAUAGAUAUCGCGCAGAACUCCGAUUGCGAAGGCAGCAUGCCGGCUCCACACUGACGCUGAGGCACGAAAGCGUGGGUAUCGAACAGGAUUAGAUACCCUGGUAGUCCACGCAGUAAACGAUGAAUGCUGGCUGUCCGGGGGGACUGACCCCUGGGUGGCGAAGCGAAAGCGAUAAGCAUUCCACCUGGGGAGUACGCCGGCAACGGUGAAACUCAAAGGAAUUGACGGGGGCCCGCACAAGCGGAGGAACAUGUGGUUUAAUUCGAUGAUACGCGAGGAACCUUACCCGGGCUCAAACGGGGAGUGGCGCAGGCAGAGACGCCUGUUUCCCACGGGACACUCCCCGAGGUGCUGCAUGGUUGUCGUCAGCUCGUGCCGUGAGGUGUCGGCUUAAGUGCCAUAACGAGCGCAACCCCCGCGUGCAGUUGCUAACAGUCAACGCUGAGGACUCUGCACGGACUGCCGGCGCAAGCCGCGAGGAAGGCGGGGAUGACGUCAAAUCAGCACGGCCCUUACGUCCGGGGCGACACACGUGUUACAAUGGGUGGUACAGCGGGAAGCCAGGCGGCGACGCCGAGCGGAACCCGAAAUCCACUCUCAGUUCGGAUCGGAGUCUGCAACCCGACUCCGUGAAGCUGGAUUCGCUAGUAAUCGCGCAUCAGCCAUGGCGCGGUGAAUACGUUCCCGGGCCUUGCACACACAGCCCGUCA
rnacentral:rRNA from 1 species